UGUGAGCUCGAUGAGUAGGGCGGGACACGUGGUAUCCUGUCUGAAUAUGGGGGGACCAUCCUCCAAGGCUAAAUACUCCUGACUGACCGAUAGUGAACCAGUACCGUGAGGGAAAGGCGAAAAGAACCCCGGCGAGGGGAGUGAAAAAGAACCUGAAACCGUGUACGUACAAGCAGUGGGAGCACGCUUAGGCGUGUGACUGCGUACCUUUUGUAUAAUGGGUCAGCGACUUAUAUUCUGUAGCAAGGUUAACCGAAUAGGGGAGCCGAAGGGAAACCGAGUCUUAACUGGGCGUUAAGUUGCAGGGUAUAGACCCGAAACCCGGUGAUCUAGCCAUGGGCAGGUUGAAGGUUGGGUAACACUAACUGGAGGACCGAACCGACUAAUGUUGAAAAAUUAGCGGAUGACUUGUGGCUGGGGGUGAAAGGCCAAUCAAACCGGGAGAUAGCUGGUUCUCCCCGAAAGCUAUUUAGGUAGCGCCUCG
rnacentral:rRNA from 1 species